UACGGAGGGAGCUAGCGUUAUUCGGAAUUAUUGGGCGUAAAGAGCUCGUAGGCGGCUUGUCACAUCGACUGUGAAAACCCGGGGCUCAACUCCGGGCCUGCAGUCGAUACGGGCUGGCUUGAGUGCGGUAGGGGAGACUGGAAUUCCUGGUGUAGCGGUGAAAUGCGCAGAUAUCAGGAGGAACACCGGUGGCGAAGGCGGGUCGCUGGGCCGUAACUGACGCUCAUGCACGAAAGCGUGGGGAGCAAACAGG
rnacentral:rRNA from 1 species